UACAAAAUGGCUGUCCCUCCCGUCGUUCGUUCGCGCAGGCGAUUCAUGCCGAGCGACGACAUUAUUAUAUUAGAAGAAGUGCUUGCACGAAACCCGUUCGACGAUCCCGCGAUGUGGGGGAAAAUUACCGAAAAACUUUGUCACCUCACACAAGUGGUUCGUAAUGUACGAAGCGUGAGGGAACGGCUGGACCUCCUCCUGGCACAGUUCUUGCGGGAGGACAUAAAAACCAGGAGAAAAUCAGGGACGGAGGAAGACUACGAGGUCGUGCGCAGGCUGCUACAACAGGUAGCAGACCCGGCACGUGAGUGAAGUUACCACCCGCCAAGAUCAGCGGUAACUCCCGCUAAGAUCGCCCAUGGCCUGCCCUGGACAGCCCUGGAGGAUGGUUUGCAGCUUAUCAACACCCUGUUUGGUCAGAGACAAGCAGUGCUGCCUACAAGCGCGCACCUGCUUUGAAAACUGCAGGUCGAACAGAAAAAGAAAUUACGAAACAUCAUUAUUACUGCAAUGGCUGCAGCACCCUUUUAACUAGUAGCACUGGGAACAAUCAGCUCAACUGGCCCAUAUGCAAAAAGACACCAAAUUCAGGAGAAGCCAGAAAUAAAGGAAAUUGUUUAACCCUUG